AACCUGGUUGAUCCUGCCAGUAUUUCAUACGCUCGUCUCAAAGAUUAAGCCAUGCAUGUCUAAGUAUAAACGAUUUUGUACUGUGAAACUGCGAAUGGCUCAUUAUAUCAGUUAUAGUUUAUUUGAUAGUCCCUUACUACAUGGAUACCCGUAGUAAUUCUAGAGCUAAUACAUGCAUCGACUCCCAACUGCUUCGGCGGACGGGACGUAUUUAUUAGAUUGAAACCAAUGCGGGGGAGACCCCGGUAUUGUGGUGAGUCUGAUAGCUUUGCGAAUCGCAUGGCCUUGCGCCGGCGAUGGAU
rnacentral:rRNA from 1 species